rnacentral:rRNA from 2 species
CCUUACAGUUGCUUCGCGGAGCCGCCCCGGCCCCGAACCAGUUUCGCGGCCCGGACCAAGGCGCCCGCCGGAGGCCACAAACUCUUUUGUUUUUACAGUAUCUUCUGAGUGUGCCGCAAGGCAAAAACAAAUGAAUCAAANCUUUCAACAACGGAUCUCUUGGUUCUGGCAUCGAUGAAGAACGCAGCGAAAUGCGAUAAGUAAUGUGAAUUGCAGAAUUCAGUGAAUCAUCGAAUCUUUGAACGCACAUUGCGCCCGCCAGAAUUCUGGCGGGCAUGCCUGUUCGAGCGUCAUUUCAACCCUCGGUCUCCCUCCGGGAGAGACCGGCGUUGGGGACCGGCACUUAAACCGCCGGCCCCGAAAUGAAGUGGCGGCCCGUCCGCGGCGACCUCUGCGUAGUAACUCCACUCGCACCGGGACCCGGGCGCGGCCACGCCGUAAAACCCCCAACUUCCGAAUGUUGACCUCGAAUC